GAUGAACGCUAGCGGCAGGCCUAACACAUGCAAGUCGAGGGAGAAGCCCUUCGGGGCAGAAACCGGCGCACGGGUGCGUAACGCGUAUGCAACCUACCUUUCACAGGGGGAUAGCCCGAAGAAAUUUGGAUUAAUACCCCAUAAUAUUAUUGGGUGGCAUCAUUUGAUAAUUAAAAUCACGAUGGUGAAAGAUGGGCAUGCGUCCUAUUAGCUAGUUGGAGUGGUAACGGCACCCCAAGGCUACGAUAGGUAGGGGUCCUGAGAGGGAGAUCCCCCACACUGGUACUGAGACAGGGACCAGACUCCUACGGGAGGCAGCAGUGAGGAAUAUUGGUCAAUGGUCGGAAGACUGAACCAGCCAUGCCGCGUGCAGGAAGAAUGCCUUAUGGGUUGUAAACUGCUUUUAUAUGGGAAGAAUAAGGAGUACGCGUACUUUGA
rnacentral:rRNA from 1 species